GACUAUGGCCAUGCCACCCUGAACAAGCCCGAUAUCUGAUCUCAGAAGCUAAGCAGGGUCAGGCCUGGUUAGUACUUGGAUGGGAGACCACCUAGGAAGACCACGUGCUGUAGGCA
rnacentral:rRNA from 1 species